CUGCUGCCUUCCGUAGGAGUCUGGUCCGUGUCUCAGUACCAGUGUGGGGGACCUUCCUCUCAGAACCCCUACGCAUCGUCGCCUUGGUGGGCCGUUACCCCGCCAACUAGCUAAUGCGACGCAUGACCAUCCGUAGCCGGAAUCGCUUCCUUUAAACCCGAGGAGAUGCCUCCUCGGGUUGUUACGCGGUAUUAGACGGAAUUUCUUCCGCUUAUCCCCCUGCUACGGGCAGGUUUCAUACGUGCUACUCACCCGUGCGCCGGUCGCCGGCGGG
rnacentral:rRNA from 1 species